rnacentral:misc_RNA from 1 species
GAAAUGCGAUAAGUAAUGUGAAUUGCAGAAUUCAGUGAAUCAUCGAAUCUUUGAACGCACCUUGCGCUCCUUGGUAUUCCGAGGAGCAUGCCUGUUUGAGUGUCAUGGAAUUCUCAACCCAUAGAUCCUUGUGGUCUACGGGCUUGGAUUUGGAGGCUUGCCGGCCCUUACACGGGGUCGGCUCCUCUUGAAUGCAUUAGCUUGAUUCCGUGCGAAUCGGCUCUCAGUGUGAUAAUUGUCUACGCUGUGGCCGUGAAGCGUUUGGCGAGCUUCUAACCGUCCGUUAGGACAACUUCUUGACAUCUGACCUCAAAUCAGGUAGGACUACCCGCUGAACUUAA